AUUGAACGCUGGCGGCAGGCUUAACACAUGCAAGUCGAACGAGCGGCGGACGGGUGAGUAAUGUCUGGGAAACUGCCUGGUGGAGGGGGAUAACUACUGGAAACGGUAGCUAAUACCGCAUACCAUCAGAUGUGCCCAGAUGGGAUUAGCUAGUAGGUGGGGUAAUGGCUCACCUAGGCGACGAUCCCUAGCUGGUCUGAGAGGAUGACCAGCCACACUGGAACUGAGACACGGUCCAGACUCCUACGGGAGGCAGCAGUGGGGAAUUUUGGACAAUGGGCGAAAGCCUGAUGCAGCCAUGCCGCGUGUGUGAAGAAGGCCUUCGGGUUGUAAAGCACUUUCAGCGGGGAGGCGGUACCUGCAGAAGAAGCACCGGCUAACUACGUGCCAGCAGCCGCGGUAAUUC
rnacentral:rRNA from 1 species